GGGAUUAUACUUACAAGUGUUGUUUAAUUUUCACAAUUACAGUCUAGGGCUACGGAGUCUGAACAAGUUCACUCUGUCUUUCCUGGGGUCUAAAAUGUCUGAAAACUAAAUAGUCUCAUCUGGAGGCUUUGUCUUGGGCUGUAUUUAAACAUCACAGGGGAAGAGUGCUGUGGAGACUAAGCAGGGACCAUUUGGAAGAACUGUUACCAUGGUCCAUUGUUUCUUGGGGCUCCACUGGGGGCUGUGAGUCCCCUGGGAUGUCAACACUCAGGAUCUGAGCAUCACACUGAAUUCCUUCAAUCAUUCUUUGGAGGUUAAAGCUCUCCCAUCUCCUCCCGAGAGAUUAUAAACUACGAUGCUUUAGUGAGAUUUCUACAGUUCCACCCCCCUGCCUUGCCUUUCUCUAAAGA
rnacentral:lncRNA from 1 species